GUGAGAGGAGACGGGAGCCAAUGAGGUCUCCGCGUCCCACCACUGGGGAGAGAUGGUCAAGUGUGGGAGGCAAGUUGGUCCCCACUUGCGAGUCUGUCAGGUUGCCUAGCAACAGAGCUGGGCUUCACCUGUGAGAUUUCUGCAAUACUUUAUUUGAAUUCAAUCUUAACGUCUUCUAAUUCCCAGAGCAGCCAAACGCGCCUGCAUGACAAGUUUGAACAGGAUGUCACUCAGAAUUUGUAAAUGUGAAGGAGUGACUUACCUAACUAGAGGCUUUGGAAGAAGACGCUAGGGAUAUACUGCCCCCUUCCUGUUGAGAGCUGCCGACUCGCAGAAAGAGGGUGCUCCCGGCGAUUCUUCACCAGGAGGACACAGUGAGAAGGUGGCCAUCUGCAAGCCAGGAAGAGAGAACUCUCACCAGAAUCCCAACCAUGGCAGUGCCCUGAUCUGAGGCCUCCAGCUUCCCGAACCAGGGCCAGGUGGCACAGCCUAGAAGGACAGGAGAAUUGACACUCUGCACAGGUGAACUUUGACCAAUGAGAGAUGGAAGCCAGAAGACAAAUUCUUCUCCCUGCCUCCUCUGGAUUGGUUGGAGGCCAGUCACCUCAUACAGCUCUCUGAGGACAUCUCCCAAGAUAGCAGCAGCCAACUCAUGAUGCCCUCCCUUAGUAUUUGUUUCCCUCUUUGCUUCUCUCACUCCCUUUUCCCCUUACUCCUGCUCUCCUGAGAUUGAAUUCCUAAUAAAAUGUUAGCACUUGAAAAAAACAAAACAAAACAAAACAAAACAAAAAAACCUAUUCUGGUAGGUCCAGGGCAACUCUGAAAGUAGAGAAUCAAACAGGGACUCAUCUGUUUCCUUCACCCUUUAUAAUUCCCAAGGCCUCCAUGAUCCCAUUUUCUUCUCAAACCUAUAUUUUCUUGCAGAUUGUACAAUUUGUCUGCACUGUGAUCUGGGUUUAGCCAAAUCAGUCCAUCAGAAACUAUUUCUUCUGCCCUUCCUCCUCUACAAAGAAUGUUCUUUAACUUACUGAUAUAGAUCGUUAUGCCCUGGGAGAAAGAUGAACAAAAAUGGAGAUAAAGUCCGUUUUAUGGAUAGGCUGAUGUCAGAGCUAUAAGGAAGAGUUAAAGAACAUAAAAAUUCUGAGAUUAAGAAAACUUGAGGGACACCUGGGUGGCUCAGUCAGUUAAGCAUCCAACUCCUGGUUUUGGCUCAAGUCGUGAUCUCAGGAUCGUGGAUCGAGCCCCGCAUCAGGGUCUGCACUCAGCUGGGAGUCUGCUUGAGAUUCUCUCCCUUUCCCUCUCCUGCUUGCUCACAUGUGCUGUCUCUCUCAAAUAAAUAAAUAAAUCUAAGAAAGAAAAAGAAAGAAAGAAAGACAGAAAAAACUUGAGAACACUGGAGCCCAGUCCCACUGGGUUUAUUUAAUGUACUCUCUCAGGCCAGGUCUUGGUGGAAUUUAACCCUUAGUACCCUUCUCACUCUUCAGUGGAGGGUGGUUAUAGGAGGGCAUGACUCUUCUGUGGUGUCUUGUUUUCAUUGUAAUUGGCCGAAUGAGAGGUCACCUGCCUAUAUAAAUUUUAUCAGUAAAUAUUUACUGAGUGCCUACUAAGUGCUAAAUCCUGGAUGAAGGAAGGAGAUAUUUACUCGCUCAGUGGUUUAUGCAGAGGUAGAGUGGCAACAAGAUGGAAAAGCUACAAUAUACCAAUUAAUCGAAUUAUCUGCCAAUGAUUUGUGAGAAAGAGUAUAAUCACAGCAUUUAGGAUAGGUUGUGGUGAACUUGGAGUUCUCUUAAGUUACCAGAGGGAAACCAUGUGAUUUUAAAAAUUCUAUAAUCGGGGCACCUGGCUCUCUUAGUCUGUAGAGCACACAACUCGAUCUCAGGGUUGUAAGUUUGAGCCCCAUGUUGGGUGUAGAGAUUACUUAAAAUAAAAUCUUUUAAAAAAGUGCUAUGGUUGGGCGCCUGGGUGGCUCAGUUGGUUAAGCGACUGCCUUCGGCUCAGGUCAUGAUCCUGGAGUCCCAGGAUCGAGUCCCGCAUCGGGCUCCCUGCUCAGCAGGGAGUCUGCUUCUCCUGCUGACCCUCCCCCUCUCAUGCUCUCUCUAUCUCAUUCUCUCUCAAAUAA